ACGACAACACAGUUGCUGCCUUCAAGUGAACAUGGGAAGCUCUUAUUUCCAAGACGGACAUUUGUUAUUACGGCAUGUAACACAUUCAAGUUGGAAGACAGAAUAUGGAAGAGGCUAAACUAUUUUUUUUUUUUUUUUUGUACCAGUAAAUAACCAUCAGCAAAAACACCUGCAGCAUUUUUCUAUGACUUAUAUGGUUUAUAAAUGCAUGAUAUCUAAAAAAUUAUUAAUUAAUUUGCAUAAAACAAACCCAAAGGUCGACAUGCCUUUCCAAGACGGCGUCAUCUAGAAUUCAGAGUUUCCCCACUGUAAAUACAACUUUGCUUGGUCAUUCAUGUGCUUGGAACUCGGAAUUAUGAUAUAUAUAUAUAUAUAUAUAUAUAGUUUCUGUUGACAUUUUCAGACAAUAUGUUUUUCUUCUCUUUCAGCUGAAAACCGAAAAUAGUAUUUUGGUGCUUAUUUGCGACACGGAGGUUUUCAGGUCUUGUCUUGUUAUUUUAUGUAUCACGAGUGCAAAAGUAAUUGUAUUUUAUGAAAAGUUCAGAUUCUAAGCUUUCAAUUGGUACCACACGAGUGACUUGUGUAUCCAGGGACUUUUAUUUUGUAAUCAUAAACUUAUUAUACACUCCAGGCCCCAACCACGGAUCCGGUACUGAGUCCAAGGAGUGGAAGAUGUUAAAAAUCAGCGGAGAACUGCAAGUCAGGCAGAUCAAUUCAACUAGUUAGUGGAGAGGAGACAGGAAAUGACAGGGGAGAAGAGUGGGAAUGGGAUCAGGAACCACCUCACAAGCUUGGACUCGAACUUGGGUCACCUGCAACGCAUCAGCACCAUAUGUCAUGAGCGCAGCCUGCAUAGGCUAUGACUGGAAUAAACUGUUCUUUGCGGUUUGGUAACCAUGCAACAUCAUACAUCGAUUUUAGAUUUGACGUAAUCAACUGUGCAGCUUUCAUGGAUGUCACACUGAUGUCUUAAACGUCAAGGUGUGCCGGUUUUUAAGUGUUUUAUAUGGUUUAUUCUCAUCAUGUAAGCGCAUGUAAUACUGUACAAUGAGCACUGAUAAGACUUUUCAGCUUGAGAGUAAAUUUGCACUGCAUUUACAGAUGAUUGUACUAUAUUAAACUGUAUAUCCUACUGAAUAUAAUAUAUAAUAAUAAUGCUAAGGAUCCUGAUAUUUGAUUGUCCUGAUAAUGCCACAUGUACAGUGUCUGAUUUCACAGUACACCAGUAUACUAUGGCAAACAUUAUUUUACUGGAUAAACAUGCACAUAUUUUUGAAAAGAAUGGUUUAGAAACAUGUAAUCAGUUUCAGCUGAUGUCUCCAUUGCCCUCUGCUGGGCUAAUGUUUGGUUCCACUCGAUCCCCAAUGGAUCAUUUUGCUCUUUAAUGAACCAUUUUUACUUAUUUGCCCUAGAAAAUAAUAAUAUUGGUCUAAGGAGUAAUAACACUAAUAAUAAUA